AACGUCGGCUGCUACUGCCAAGUGACAACAAUUUACGUGCAAUGACACGAACUCACGAAGUGAUUCAAGUGUGUUUACUUUUCUUUAACAGAAGAAAAGGUUGGGAAAAGUGAUUAGCUAAUUUGUGUGCUUUUUCAUUUAAAGAUGGAUACUAAAUGUUAUGUUGAGGGUUGCAAAUCUGGACGUGAACCGUGCAAAGAAACAUUGUACUUUUUUAAGCCAAAAGAUAAGAACACUGUCGAGCUUUGGGAGAAAUUUAUUGGUCGAAAAGACCUAAAGCUGGAAACAAUUCAUUUGGUUUGUCACAAACACUUUGAGGAGGCAAAUAUUAUCAAAGUACCUGUCCAGCAACAGAAUCAAACUGGCCAGGCAAAUAAUGAUAGACCAUUGCCUCGUGAGAAACCCUGUGUAAAGCUUGCUGCUGGUGCAGUACCUACACUUUUAACUGGAAAGAUAGUAACAAAAGUAUAUCCCUCAAAGAUGGUUUUGGCAAGUUUACCACCAACAGUUACCAUUCCUCAAGUAGUUCAAAAAAGUGUUCAGCGUGAGCUUCCCCAGACUUUAAUUCUCAGACCAGUUCCAAGAGAAAAGGUCUUAAAUUCCAAGGAUGCUGUCAUCAGACCAAUUGUGAUUAACAAAACAAUGAAUUUACUUCAAAGUAAUGCUGUCCAAAUGAUGCAAAAGGUGCCACCAACAGCUCAACAAAUUACAACCCACCAACCUUUAACAAACUGCCAGAAUGCUUUCAAUCAGCAGACUCCACCUGUGCGCCCUGUUAUUCAAAGAAUAGGCAAUAAUACUGCUCAAAAAUUGGGAAAAGUCUCAUCAGCACCUCGUCAAAACCUUUUGAGUCCAAAAGAAGCGACCCUCCCAUUUUCGUGGUUUUGGCAAGAAGGAAGUCUAAAGGAACAAGAAUUCAUUUGCUCAAAAUUCAAAUGGUUGGAUGAAAACAAGUUCGAGUACACCAAAACUGUCAUCAUCAACGGAGACACACGCACCCUUCGUUACUUCCUUCGAGGUCAGGAAAUCCUAAGCGUAACUCCGUCUCCAUUCUCAACAGUCAAUCAGCUUAUCGAUCGUUUGCGAAUUUAUGACCAAAUUCCCGAGUGCAUGGGCUAUCCAGAACCGAAAUCGCAAAAAAAUUCCUCAUCGUCAAACCUACAGGCUGAAGAAAAUGGUGAAACCCGGUCGAAAAAUUGUCUCUUGUUGGGUUCCAAGAAAAGCAAUUCUUGUCGAAAAUGCAUUGAAGAUGCUACUCAAUUUAAAGAGAAUGUUCCUAGGCAGACAUCAAAUAGAUCGAAGAAAUCUUCUGACACUCAAACCAUGUGUCAAGCCGCAUCAUCGGAUUCACCUGUUACACAUUCAAACGUUGAUGAAAACCAUGAAGAAUCUACCGAUUGUAUUAUUCUUACGGAUCUUAGUUACGCAGCAAUGAAUCCUCAGCUUGCACGAGAUAAAAGAUCAGUCGACAGAUGUGUAGAAUCUCAUAACGGAGAAAUCCAUCAACUGGAAGGACCAACUGUGCAAAAUAAGACUAAAAAGCCGAGGGCAUCAACACCAGAAGAUGAUGAAAAUGACAUAAAUGACUUGGAGUUGGCGAAGAGCUUUUUGAAGAAGGAAAUAACUCGGAGAAAAACGCUUAGCCAACGCAUCCGGCGGGAUUUAGCGAAUCACAAAGAGCACAAAGAAAUGGCUCGUUCUAUUUUAAAGGCAGCGGAAAAAUUGAAACAAAUAAUGGCCGAAAAAGCAAAACGACCUCGUGUCAAAUAUGCUCGCCCCUUAAUGCCAUGCGAGAAAUGCGGUAGAAUGGUAAGGGUUGCGCGAAUGAAAUUACAUCUUAAAAUGCACGAUGGUUACAAGCCCCACGUGUGCGAAGUAUGCGGUCGAGGAUUUGCUGAUAAAUCAAGUCUUAAAAGCCACUCUCGCUUUAAUCAUCUCGGAGUGCCUAAACCUUUCAUGUGUAGCACUUGCGGCCACAUGUGUACAAAUAAGAAAACAUUGGAAAUUCACGAAAUGACUCACACCGAUGCAAGGCCGUUUUCAUGCUCAAUUUGCGACAAGACAUAUCGAUCAAAAGCCAAUCUUAAUAAACACAAAAGAUCUCAUACAGGCGAAAAGCCCUACACGUGUAUAGUUUGUGCAAAGUCGUAUUCUCAUAGUAAAUCCCUUAAGAAACACUUUAGCAGACACCAUGAAAAUGUGGGACCUGACGGCACCAUCGAUCCACAUAUAGGAUAUACGCGGAGGAAAGCUGGUACUUGCGAUAAACGUCACUCGUGCACCAUUUGUGGAAAAGCCUUCAGUGAGAAACAAGCAUUGUUUAGACACGUCAAAAGAUGUCACGAAAAUGGAGGAACUCCAAUAAAUCGAGGAACACGGACACGAAUCGUAGUCCCACGUUAUCACUGCGAGGUUUGCCAACAAAAAUUUUGCCGCGUCCUGGCUUUUGAGAGACACCGUGCGACUCAUACGGGUGCUUCUGUUGGCGUUCCUUGUGGGCAACCCGACUGUGAUUUUAUGAACAUUUGAUUGAACAUCAUCCCGAGAAAGUAUUUCAUUGCGAAUUGUGCGACAAAGUUUUCUUGACGCAAUUAAAUCUAACUCUCCAUCAGGUUGUGCACAAUCCUGCGCAAGGGUUUCAGUGUACCUC
rnacentral:misc_RNA from 1 species